rnacentral:rRNA from 1 species
GACGAACGCUGGCGGCGUGCUUAACGCAUGCAAGUCGAACGGAAAGGCCCUGCUUUUGUGGGGUGCUCGAGUGGCGAACGGGUGAGUAACACGUGAGUAACCUGCCCUUGACUUUGGGAUAACUUCAGGAAACUGGGGCUAAUACCAGAUAGGAGCUCCUGCUGCAUGGUGGGGGUUGGAAAGUUUCGGCGGUUGGGGAUGGACUCGCGGCUUAUCAGCUUGUUGGUGGGGUAGUGGCUUACCAAGGCUUUGACGGGUAGCCGGCCUGAGAGGGUGACCGGCCACAUUGGGACUGAGAUACGGCCCAGACUCCUACGGGAGGCAGCAGUGGGGAAUAUUGCACAAUGGGCGGAAGCCUGAUGCAGCAACGCCGCGUGCGGGAUGACGGCCUUCGGGUUGUAAACCGCUUUCGCCUGUGACGAAGCGUGAGUGACGGUAAUGGGUAAAGAAGCACCGGCUAACUACGUG